CACGUGGACAACCUACCCUCAGAUCUGGGAUAAACCUGGGAAACUGGGUAUAAUACCGGAUAGGUCUUGGAUGCUGGAAUGCACCGAGGCCCAAAGCUCCGGCGUCUGAGGAUGGGUGUGCGGCCUAUCAGGGUAGUAGUGGGUGUAAAGUACCUACUAGCCUACGACGGGUACGGGUCGUGAGAGCGAGAGCCCGGAGAUGGAUCCUGAGACACGAAUCCAGGCCCUACGGGGUGCAGCAGGCGCGAAAACUUUACAAUGCCGGCAACGGCGAUAAGGGGACCUCGAGUGCCAGGAUACAAUCCUGGCUGUCGUAAUGCCUAAAAAGCAUCAUAUAGCAAGGGCCGGGCAAGACCGGUGCCAGCCGCCGCGGUAACACCGGCGGCUCGAGUGGUAACCGCUAUUAUUGGGUCUAAAGGGUCUGUAGCCGGCCUGGUAAGUCUUUUGGGAAAUCCGGCAGCUCAACUGUCGGGCUAUCAGAGGAUACUGCUAGGCUCGAGACCGGAAGAGGUGAGAGGUACUUCAUGGGUAGGGGUGAAAUCUUGUAAUCCUUGAAGGACCACCAGUGGCGAAGGCGUCUCACCAGAACGGAUCUGACGGCAAGGGACGAAAGCUAGGGGCACGAACCGGAUUAGAUACCCGGGUAGUCCUAGCCGUAAACGAUACUCGCUAGGUGUCGGCCACGGUGCGA
rnacentral:rRNA from 1 species